GCCAGGCAUGGUUGUGCAGGUCUGUAAUCCCAGCACCUUUGGAGGCUGAGGUAGGAGGGUCACAAGUUCAAAGCAAGGUGCAAAGCAACUCAGUGAGACCCUAUCUCUA
rnacentral:sRNA from 1 species